GAUGAAGAACGCAGCGAAAUGCGAUAAGUAAUGUGAAUUGCAGAAUCCAGUGAAUCAUCGAAUCUUUGAACGCACAUUGCGCCCGCCAGCAUUCUGGCGGGCAUGCCUGUUCGAGCGUCAUUUCAACCCUCGACCUCCCCUUGGGGAGGUCGGCGUUGGGGACCGGCAGCACACCGCCGGCCCUGAAACGGAGUGGCGGCCCGUCUGCGGCGACCUCUGCGUAGUAAUACAGCUCGCACCGGAACCCCGACGCGGCCACGCCGUAAAACACCCAACUUCUGAACGUUGACCUCGAAUCAGGUAGGACUACCCGCUGAACUUAAGCAUAUCAAUAAGCGGAGGA
rnacentral:misc_RNA from 1 species